ensembl:snoRNA
GCCCUCAUGGUGCUUACCACAGGCUGUGUUCUUACACUGACUGUAUAGAAAGAGAAGGUAGAAUAAACCUACCCCAUAUGCACUUCAGCCCAGGACCUGUGCUGUGCCUGGUCUGUAUUGUGAAUGGGGAAACAUAG